GGGGGUGUAGCUCAUAUGGUAGAGUGCUCGCUUUGCAUGUGAGAGACACGAAGUUCAAUUCCCUGCACCUCCG
rnacentral:tRNA from 1 species